UACGUAGGGGGCGAGCGUUGUCCGGAGUUACUGGGCGUAAAGCGCUUGUAGGCGGUCCACCGAGUUUGGGGUGACAGUUGCCGACUUAAUCGGCAAAGUGCCUCAAAGACUGGCGGACUUGAGGGCCACAGAGGGACAUGGAACUCCAGGUGUAGUGGUGAAAUGCGUAGAUAUCUGGAAGAACACCAAAGGCGAAGGCAGUGUCCUGGGUGGUCGCUGACGCUGAGAGGCGAAAGCCAGGGGAGCGAACGGG
rnacentral:rRNA from 1 species